GAUGAACGCUGGCGGCGUGCCUAAUACAUGCAAGUCGAGCGAACAGAUGAGGAGCUUGCUCCUCUGACGUUAGCGGCGGACGGGUGAGUAACACGUGGAUAACCUACCUAUAAGACUGGGAUAACUUCGGGAAACCGGAGCUAAUACCGGAUAAUAUAUUGAACCGCAUGGUUCAAUAGUGAAAGGCGGUUUUGCUGUCACUUAUAGAUGGAUCCGCGCCGCAUUAGCUAGUUGGUAAGGUAACGGCUUACCAAGGCAACGAUGCGUAGCCGACCUGAGAGGGUGAUCGGCCACACUGGAACUGAGACACGGCCCAGACUCCUACGGGAGGCAGCAGUAGGGAAUCUUCCGCAAUGGGCGAAAGCCUGACGGAGCAACGCCGCGUGAGUGAUGAAGGUCUUCGGAUCGUAAAACUCUGUUAUUAGGGAAGAACAAAUGUGUAAGUAACUAUGCACGUCUUGACGGUACCUAAUCAGAAAGCCACGGCUAACUACGUG
rnacentral:rRNA from 1 species